AUUCUGGUUGAUCCUACCAGUAAUGUACGCUCGUCUCAAAGGUUAAGCCAUGCAUGUCUAAGUACAUACUAAAAUAAAGUGAAACCGCAAAAGGCUCAGUAUAACAGCUGUAAUUUCUUAGAUCAUAUUCACAGUACUUGGAUAACUGUGGAAAAUCUAGAGCUAAUACAUGCAAAUAAUGCGAGUAUCGUAAGAUUCUCGUGCAGUUAUUAGACAAACCAAUCGGUCUUCGGACUGUUUUAUAUGGUGGAACUCUAGAUAACUUUGCUGAUCCGUAUGGCC
rnacentral:rRNA from 1 species